GGAAACAUGAAGUGUUCAAAAAUAAUAAUAGUAUGUGUUAUAGGAGCAAUAUAUGUUGUUCAUUCGGUAGAGGCUCAAGCACGGAAAAAAAGAGGCUCUCAGUCUGGGAGAGAGGGUUCAACAACUGACUGAUAUGAAUCUCAAGAGAUCUGUCAUACGAUUCAAUGGAAACAGAUUUCGAGAUUUUGUUAAAGCAACGCCUCGAAAUUAUUCUGUAAUUGUCAUGUUUACAGCAAUGGCACCACAGAGACAAUGUGCAAUUUGCAGGCAUGCCAAUGAUGAAUUCCAAAUUGUUGCAAACUCUUUCCGUUAUUCACAGACCUAUUCGAAUAAGCUGUUCUUUGCCUUAGUAGAUUUUGAUGAAGGUCCAGAUGUGUUUCAAAUG